CAGAGAUGAAGCUAUGUUUUAAAUAGACCUAUAUUAUUAGUGAAAAUAUGGUGUAGUACAGCACACAGCACAGAGAGCCUGAGGGGUCCUGGUCCUAGGCCCAGCUCUUCUGCUGGCCAUGUGGCAAUGAAUGCUUUGUGUCUCCGAUUUUUCACUGGUGAAAGAAGAGGGAUGAAAUGAAUGGCUCCUCAGUUAUCUUCCAACACUGAGAAUCUGCCUUUGUUAUGUAAGAGUAGCCGGGCUUUCACUCAGGCCUGAUCAUGAAUAACAAUCUUAAUAGUGUCAUGUGGGUGUCCUGUGAGAGGCACAGAAGAGGAAAAAAGUGGUAUUCCCUGGGGAUGGACUUUCCCAGCCUCCUCCAGAGCAGUCCAGGUUUGUGAAUCAAUGCAGGAGGUGGGGGUGGGAGUGGGAGGGGUUGGCCAGGCAAGGCUUUCCCUUUACCCACACAGGCUGUGAUUAAGAAGGCAUCCAUCUGUCAACAGAGGCUCUCAGCUGUAUUUCCAGCCCAGCUUCCUCCCAACUGACUCAUUCAGUGAUGCCACAAUCUAAUGUUUAUGACCUAACAGAUGAUCACCAUGGAAGUAGCACAAACCUUGGACUGUUGAGGAGCAAAACCAGCGUAGAGGAGCUGGACCGUUUAGGAAAAGAAAAAAUGAAGACCCUUAUU
rnacentral:lncRNA from 10 species